rnacentral:misc_RNA from 1 species
GUUUUCUUUUUCAUUACACUACAAGCGGCUGAUGAAUGAAUGAGAAUGAGUAAUUCCUAGUUAUAAUGUUGUAACUUUAUCUUCAGCGUAUUAUUCUCAGCAAAAUAUUACGGAAGUGCUAGAAAAUUGCCAAAAAUAUUGUAAGCUUUAACUCUUAAUAUCCUCUUCGCUUUUGACCAGAUUAACAUUCAAUGUUAACCUCUUAUUUCAAUUCGUCCUAGUGAGUGUUCAUGGUUGCUACAUUGAAUUUUAAAGGAUUUGUGUUUAAUAAAUAGGCCUAAUUUAUGACAUUAAGGCCGGUGGAUUUUAUUGUUAGAGAGGUACUCCCUGUCUACUUUGCCCCGUCAGUAACAUGGCCACUCGUAAACUCAAAUUCAAACCAAAGCCAGUAAUUGGUGGUGGAUCAGUUCGUAAGACAAAAGAGAAGGAUGAUGUACCAGAACUUGCAGCCAAGGCAUCAAUCAUAUCCGACAAAGAAGACUUAAGUGAUAAAAACAUUGAAAACAGUUCUAUCACAGAAAACAUCCAUAUAGAAUCAAAUAGUGAAGAAAAAGUUUUGAAAAAACUUAAAACAGAUGAUGGUUCCUGUGUAAGUCGUUUAGAAGAUGUCCAACAUGAGUCUAAUACAAGUCAACAUCAAGAUUCUCAAAGUGGUGCACCCACAUCUAGUCAGUGUAUACCAAAUAAUAUCACAUUUGAACAACAAAGGCUUGUACCAACAGAUCUGAUUGUAGAGAGUGACCAGGUAACUACAGUCAGUUCCGAUUGUAAUGAUAGUCACAAAACCAAACCACCACAGGCCGCAGAAGUUGAGACUGUAAUAGUUAUAAACGAUUCUCUGCCUGCCAAAGAUACUGGAAACUGCACUAAAUCAUCUAAACCUGAUUCUGUUAAAGGCUUGCCACGUUUUGGACGAUCUCGUUGUAAACCUAUUUUGACCAAUCCUGGACUCAGAAAGAAAAAUGAUGUUAAGACAUCUACUGAAAAUGUUUCAGUCUCUCUAAAUAAUGGUUUUAUCAAAUCAAUGGAUGGUAAUCCAAUUGUGUCCAAAAAUGAACAAUCAUCAAGUGGAAAUGUUUCAGUUAUAGCUGAAGAUAAUGUUGAUGUAUCUGGUGUAAAUAGUUUAAAACCUUGUGAAAGUGUUUCAGUUAUACCACAAGUAAGAACAGAAUCUGUUAUUAAAAAUCUAAGAACAGAACUAACUAAAAAUGGUUCUGUAGUGAAUGAAAUAAAAGAUAAUAUUUCUUCAAUAGAGUCUAAUGUUGUAGUUGAUGUGAAAGAAAGUAAUAAAAUAGUUCCUCCUCAGAUAUCUUUGAGUAAAGAUUGUGAAACUGUGAGUGUUGAAAGUGAAAGUGGGUGUAAGUCAUCAUUUCAUAUUCUACCAAAUAUUUCUAGCAAAGGUGGAAAUUCAGUUGUAAAAAAACAGAUUGUAUCAGCGCAAACUGAGUUAAACAGUAUUAGUGAAAACAGUGUAAUAGUAAUAAACUUAAGUAAUACAGCACUGAGCUCUGACUGUUCAUUAAAUAAGUCAGAACAAGAGAGUGAAAUGAAAGUAGAUCUGCCAAACACAAAUAAUAUAUCUCAUAAACUUCCAUUGUCUCCUCUUAAACCGAUAUCUAAAGUUCUUGUACCCAAACCAAGUCCUAGAAUUUCUGACAUCGCUCAAAGAAGAAUUAGUUUUCAGGGAAGUGAUUCUGAGGACGAAUCAAAGAGGAAACCCUCUCAGUCAUCUUGUGAUAUUACUAAAACUUAUACCAAAGAAAAAAAAGAAAAGGUUUUAAAAAAAGAGAGCAAGCGAAGACGUUCACAAGGUUCGACUUAUUCAAAAAUGGGUCAAGAAACAAUGGAGAAGCUCAAUAAAAGAUUUGGAAAACACCAAUCUCCCGAUAAGACAAAAUUGACUAUGUUAGAUUUUAUAUUCUACAAUCCAAAGAACAAUCCAAUGACCGAAAAAACAGAUAAUGCAUCAAGUGGGAAAAAGAAGAAAGAUAAGGAAGAAGUAAUUGGGGAAGCUCUGGAUGAGACACUGGCAGAGCAACAAGUAGAUGAUGUAGAAGCCCCCUCAGCACCAUCUGCAAUACCAGUACCUCAGCUGAAAGUCGGUCCUGAUGGUCAAAUCAUCCUGGACCCCAAGAGUUUGGUUAUUGAGACAACAGGCAUGGAGAAGAGUAGAGCUGAGCUGGAAAACUCACAGGUUGUCCAGGAGACUGGAGCCACCCGUUACAACACCUACAGCAAGCGCAAAGCUAAAAGACAUGAAUGGACAGCUCGAGGUCACUAUACAAUAAACCGUGCAAUUCUACAAAGCUCUGCACACAGUGGGAUCAGAUUUUGCCAUCAUGACCAAACUCUUCCCCAAGCGCUCCAGACACGAGUUGAAGCUCAAAUUCAAACGUGAAGAAAGGAUAAACCUCAACUUGGUGGACAAGGCAAUGACCGCUCCAGCUGAUUUUGAUUUUACAAAUUUAGAAGAGGAGUUGAGAGAAGAAAAUGAUCAAAUAGAAAAAAAGAAGAUUGCAAAGAAGAUGGCGGCAGAAGCUGCAAAGAGAGAACGAGCAUUAAAGAAGGAAGAAAAAGAAAAAUCUAAAAACAAACAAAACAAGAACAACAAUAA